rnacentral:rRNA from 1 species
GAUCAUGGCUCAGGAUGAACGCUAGCUACAGGCUUAACACAUGCAAGUCGAGGGGCAGCAUUGUCUUAGCUUGCUAAGGCCGAUGGCGACCGGCGCACGGGUGAGUAACACGUAUCCAACCUGCCGUCUACUCUCGGACAGCCUUCUGAAAGGAAGAUUAAUACAAGAUGGCAUCAUGAGUCCGCAUGUUCACAUGAUUAAAGGUAUUCCGGUAGACGAUGGGGA